AGCAAAUCGCAAAGUGAAAACAGGCGAUAAAUCAUUCAAGUUUCUGACCUAUCAGCUUUCGACGGUAUGGUAUUGGCUUACCGUGGCAGUGACGGUUAACGGGGGAUUAGGGUUCGAUUCCGGAGAGGGAGCCUGAGAAACGGCUACCACAUCUAAGGAAGGCAGCAGGCGCGCAAAUUACCCAAUUCUAACAGUUUGAGAGAGGUAGUAACAAGAAAUAACAAUACAAGGCAAUUAAAAUGCUUUGUAAUUGGAAUGAUAGAAAUUUAAACCCUUUUUAAAGUAUCAAUUGGAGGGCAAGUCUGGUGCCAGCAGCCGCGGUAAUUCCAGCUCCAAUAGCGUAUAUUAAAAUUGUUGCAGUUAAAAAGCUCGUAGUUGAAGUUCUGCUAAAAGUAACCGGUCUGCUU
rnacentral:rRNA from 1 species